GAUGAACGCUGGCGGCGUGCCUAAUACAUGCAAGUCGAGCGAACAGACGAGGAUCUUGCUCCUCUGACGUUAGCGGCGGACGGGUGAGUAACACGUGGAUAACCUACCUAUAAGACUGAGAUAACUUCGGGAAACCGGAUCUAAUACCGGAUAAUAUAUUGAACCGCGUGGUUCAAUAGUGAAAGACGGUUUUGCUGUCCCUUAUAGAUGGAUCCGCGCCGCAUUAGCUAGUUGGUAAGGUAACGGCUUACCAAGGCAACGAUGCGUAGCCGACCUGAGAGGGUGAUCGGCCACACUGGAACUGAGACACGGUCCAGACUCCUACGGGAGGCCGCAGUAGGGAAUCUUGCGCAAUGGGCGAAAGCCUGACGGAGCAACGCCGCGUGAGUGAUGAAGGUCUUCGGAUCGUAAAACUCUGUUAUUAGGGAAGAACAAAUGUGUAAGUAACUAUGCACGUCUUGACGGUACCUAAUCAGAAAGCCACGGCUAACUACGUG
rnacentral:rRNA from 1 species